CCUGAGCCAAGGUCCCAGGAGUUACAGUUGAACUCCUACUGUCCCUUGUGAACAGAAAUUGUCCACUGGGUGUUCCACGGUUCUAGGCCUAUGACUAGAAUGGGCCUAGGUUGCCUGAACAGACUACUGCCCUACACCCACAGAUCGACUUCUCCUCUGGUUUCCUUCAGAAAAUAGCAGGUUUCCCAAGGAUAUCAAUCAAUCAUGUAUAAUGAGAUGCAAGAAGACAAGGCACAAACUCUCAAAUCAAGCCUGGAUGAGGCAACCCAGUAGGAGGAAAAGGGUCCCAAGAGCAGAUGAAAGAACACAGCCUACAAAAUCACUUUGAAUAUGGUCAUCAAAGGGAUUAUCAAUCCUUGCUCAGCACUCGUGGGAAUAUGUCAAAUGGAUCCAAGGAAGACUGGAAACAGUGCAAGUGCAAGAAUAAAAUUCAAAGUAUAUAAAUACAACACAGCUAAGAUAAAGCAUGGGCAUACUAUUUCAUGAAAAUUAUUAAGCAACAGCAACACAUGAUAUCCAGGACUCCACCAAAACUUAACAGCAUGUGAAACACCCAUGACAUCAAAAGAACCAGAAAUGUCUCUGGUAGUCCAUGGAAUAAUCAGCCAACAGAGACACAUAAAAAACAAUCCACUGGAUACACCAGUCAUGUUUGGUUUUUAACCAAGGAACCAAGGUCACUUGGCUACAGAAUCUCUAAUUUGAAGUUACCCAAGCAGUUUCAGAUGUUCAAGGCUGAAGGGAAUCCAGAGGUCAUCACCCUGCCUGAAGGUAAAGUCGACUCAAGUCCUCCAAGUGUUUUAAAACAAAAAGGAGAGAUAGAGGAAGAUUUAGCAAUCCUCUCUUCUGUGGCAGUGCCCUCAUCAUUCUAGCCACAAAGUUCCAUGGAGCUUUAAAGCCUAAAAUAGUAAUCUUUAAAUUCUGAGAACAUCCCUCAAUAGAAAAAGAUGGUCUCAAGUUGUCAAUAGGCUCAGUAGGGCUCAUAACAGUUCUAUUGUUUGAGCAUUUGUGUGUCUUUGAUAUUCUUAAGAACAAAAUUUUGUACCCAACAUUUACCCUUUAACAAAAAUAAAGAACAAAAAGACCCAA